UUCCCCAAGGAAGUGAUGAGGUGGAGGGAGGAGCUUUCCAGAAAGCGGGAACACCAAUUAUAAGAUCUCUCUGAUUAGGAGGGAGCAUGUGCUUGAGAAACUGAAAACAAGGCCCCCACAGCUGGAGUGGAGAGGACAAGAUGAUGUUCAGUGUGAGUUAAGACCACAGCGAUGAGGAGGGCCAAAAUCACACCAGGCCACCGGGCCACACGGAGAACGAUGCCCUCUUCUCCACUGCACGCAACUGAACCAACGUGGCUGGCAUUCCAGCCUCCCUGCCUGGUGCACACCUGCCAUUGUGUAAGAACCAUCUCAUCUUCCCCUCGGUGAAGCCAGCUCUACCCUCUCCCCCCAUCUCCGGUGCUACUCAAAGGCCCGAGUCCCAUUAACUUCUGUACGCACAGCCCAGCAGAGUGUCUGGUGGAGCUUCCAGACAAGGAUAUAACAAAGAGUUCGUGGUUUCUAGAAGGUUCUCAGAGUGGCAAGGUCUACCUUAGAAUAUGCCAACACCAUUAAGAUCCUUUUUUGGUGAAACGUUUCCAGUGAUACUCAGAUGCCACUGUUCAGAAAGAACCCGGCAGGAGCGAACGAAAGCAGAUUCCUCCUCCGAAGAGAGCCCAGGCAACAAAUGGAGGCUGGUAAGUAGCACCCGUUGGUAAGAGAGAUAAGAUGACUUGGGACGAGUCUGAGCAUCAGCAAGCCUGCAUUUUCAAACUCAGGCCAACAGCUCGACGUCUAUUUAUGUCAGGUUAGAUCGCACCCU